rnacentral:pre_miRNA from 1 species
AGAACACUUGGACCGUCGGUCUACCGGGAAAUAUCACCCGCUCGGUGGAAGAUCUUUCCUUGUUAA